GCCUGGGUGGCCCAGUCGGUUGAGUGUCUGAUUUCAGCUCAGGAUGUGAUCUUGCAGUUUGUGGGUUCAAGCCCCACAUGGGGCU
rnacentral:tRNA from 1 species